AUCACUUUUUGGCCUUUUGGCUAAGAUCAAGUGUAGUAUCUGUUCGUAUCAGUUUAAUAUCCAAUGCAUCCUUUGUCCCAGGAUAAUAUAGUAAGUGAAUUUUUGAAGCAGGAAGAUGGUGGAGCUUGCUCCAUCUACUCCACACAUUGACCUGGUAUUGCAGUACCUCUAAGAAUGGUGCACCUCGU